UACGGAGGGUGCUAGCGUUGUUCGGAAUCACUGGGCGUAAAGCGCGUGUAGGCGGUCCGUUAAGUCUGAUGUGAAAGCCCGGGGCUCACCCCCGGAAGUGCAUUGGAAACUGACGAACUCGAGUCCCGGAGAGGAGGGUGGAAUUCCUGGUGUAGCGGUGAAAUGCGUAGAUAUCGGGAGGAACACCAGUGGCGAAGGCGACUACCUGGCCUGUUCUUGACGCUGAGGCGCGAAAGCUAGGGGAGCAAACGGG
rnacentral:rRNA from 1 species